GGGGGUAUAGCUCAGUGGUAGAGUAUGUCCUUAGCAAGAACAAGGUCCUGGGUUCAAUCCCCAGUACUGCCA
rnacentral:tRNA from 1 species